ACAGGGUCUCAUUUUUAUGUAGCUGUUGGUGAGUCUUCUUGUGGUGGUGUCUUUUGGGCUUCUGGUUAACUUUAUUUCGGUACUGGGAAUCGAACUCAGGUCCUUGGUUAACGUUAUUUUUUUGCUUUUGGUACCGAGAAUCGAACUCGGACCUGGCGCUUUCGAGGCAAGAGGCGGAACUACUGAGCUAAAUCCCCGGUCCCUGGUUACCUUUAAAUGAACUCAGGAGCGUUUCGCCCUGUAGGCGUUUUUCUUUGUGGUACCCAUUUGGUUGCCAGGGAAGAGAGGUCUAAUGCAGGUCCUUGAGCUGGAAGCCACCAGGGGACGUGAAGGACAAAAUGGCCGUCGCGGUGGAGGGUGGUGUGCGGGUGGCCGCGCCCCUAUGAUGAGGACUUCACAGACCUGUGCUGACCUCUAUGAGGAUGACUCUGUCUGAGGGGACGGCUGAUGGCCCUCCCAGCCGUGGAGCAAGAAUAUACCUGGUACUAAUAUCUUUUGUCUCUUUGCAGGGCGCGCGUCUAAACACGGGAUCCAGAGACCGCCUUCCCCCUCCCGGGUGCACUUCAGCUCAAGAGUUCACUGCUUGAAGAAUGAAAGAAGACCCAUCCUUCUACACAACGAGUAUCCCAGCUGGAGCAACGCUCCAGCAUCUCCUAACCAGUCCUGAGUUGAGUUACUGCCCAGGAUGAAAACAGGUUGUCCUGAUACUUUCCUCCAUCUGAUGAUGGCAGCUGGUCUCAAGACUCCGGACUCCUAGAAAAAGUUGAAAGUGGCAAGUACUUGCCAACUGUAGCUUGCUGGACUCCAGUGCCAGUGAGGAGCAAGUAUCCUGUCUAGUCCCCAGAGCAAAUAAUGGUGAACCCACUGGGAUUACAGAGAAAGAUGAAAAUGUUCCAUCAAAGCUGUCUAGCAUAGCAAAUGUGUCCAUACCUAGCACAUUUAUCUUUAGUUCAUCCAGUAACAGUGGCUCGUGUGCUACUUUGCUGUUUGUAAUGCUUUGCUAAAUAAUUCUCUGAUACAGGGUUGUUCCUGUAUACCACUGGAGAUCUUCCAACAAUGAGGUUAGUUGCAGUUUUUUUUUUGAUCUUACCAACUAGGCAGUUUCCAUGAUGAAUUAAACUAGCUCACUAUGACUGGAAAUGAAAACACACGAACACCUGAGAAACUGGGAGGUAUGGGAAUGGAGAGGGAUAUAGGUUGUGAGGAACUUUGCUGCCAACUAUAGUUUUGUAUUUUGUGCAGGCACUAUUCCCAGCAGCCUACUUGGUUUAAAGGUGAGUGAUUUUGUUGCAUGUUAAAUGUGUGCCAGGUUUUUUAAAAUGCCGCUUGGGCCAGGGAUUUUAGCUCAGUGGUUUUGCCGCCUGCCUCGCAAAUGCAAGGUCCCAAGUUCAAUCCCCAGUACCAAAAAAAAAAAAAAAAGCCUCUUGAGGGCUGUGCAUGAUGACUUACAUGGAAUCUCGUUCGGCUGAUGACUUGCUGUUGAGAUGUGGAAAUCUGAUUUCUUUUUUCUAGGGAUAACUGCUUAGGUGACUAUACUACAUGUAGGCAUCACUGAUUGAGUCUUGUACAUUUCAGAUCCAGCAUCUUAUUUGGAGGUCGGGAAUGAUUUCAGGUAAAGAUCUUUGUAGUGCUGCCAUACAAAAUCUGUGCCUCUUAUGUGGGUAUGGUGGCACUUCUGGUCUACAUGGCCAGCUUUCAACUACUAAUGAUGAAUUAAUACUGCUCACCAAUGAUGAAUUGGAUACCGCCCCAGUCUGAUCACUGUGACAGAAAGGUAUUUUCUGAGUUGAGCACACCUAAGUAACAAUAGAAAGUUAAGGAAUAGGCUUUAUAGACAGUGAUUUGGGGGACUAGGUAGUGGUAUAUGUAUAUGCCUUGAAAUAAACAUCUCUAUACUGUGUAUAUGUUCGUUUUCUCUAACCAAUAGUGAUAGCUGAGACUUCACUCCCAGUCACUUUACAGAGAAAGGAAAUAAUGUUUUGGUUUUGUUUUUUAAGACAGGGUCUCACUAUGUAGAUAAAGCUGGUGUGGGAUUCCCAGUGAUCCCCGUCUUAGCCACCUGAGUGCUAGGAUUACAGGGAUACACCACCAAACCCAGCUGCAAACCAUGUUUCUUCUCAGCUUCAAGCCAAAGUGAAAGGUCUCAGGAAAUCUGUUCGAAUGUUGGUGUCUGGUAUUUUAAUACAUAACUGACAUAGAUUCGGUGCUGCCCAAAAAGCAACAUUUUGUUGGCUGAUCAGAGGGUAUGACUCCUAUAAAUCUGAUUGUGGACAUUACCAUCCCAGUAGUCAAAGAACUUUCUCUGGAAGGAGUCAAAGUUUCAGAGAAUGACCAGGUCUAGGUCUGGCUGUUGAACUUGGCAUGUAAUUGCUUCCAUCUCCAUAAUAAAGCUGUUUUCUCACCUUA